rnacentral:rRNA from 1 species
GACAGCCAGGAUGUUGGCUUAGAAGCAGCCAUCAUUUAAAGAAAGCGUAAUAGCUCACUGGUCGAGUCGGCCUGCGCGGAAGAUGUAACGGGGCUAAACCAUGCACCGAAGCUGCGGCAGCGACACUAUGUGUUGUUGGGUAGGGGAGCGUUCUGUAAGCCUGUGAAGGUGUGCUGUGAGGCAUGCUGGAGGUAUCAGAAGUGCGAAUGCUGACAUAAGUAACGAUAAAGCGGGUGAAAAGCCCGCUCGCCGGGAGAC